rnacentral:lncRNA from 1 species
CGGCAGCCCGCGCAGAUGAGGUCCUAGGCCCUGGGGUCAGAUCCUGGCUGUGCUCCUAGCUGCAGGCGACCCUGGGAGACGACUGCCUCAGUUUACCCAUCGGCGGAGGGCUCUCGUGAGGAGAGAAGGCUUAUGCGCGGAUGCCACGUGGACUUGAGGCAGUACAUUUGGAAAACACAGGGAGCCACAGAACUGGGGGGCAACGAAAAGAAGAAAAUCAGGGUGAGGAAUUCAAGGAAGCAAAACGAAAGCAAAAAGGAAGGGCUUCCUGCUCCUGAUUGCCCAGACGUGGAGGAGAAGGACCUCGGCCUGUGGGUGAGAGCAGGCGCAAGCAGCCCUGCUCGCCGGGCGCCCCUGAAACCCCCGUCUCCCGCCGUGGCCCGCCGGGGGCCCCUGCCAGCUUGGGAGGCCUCCGGGCUUCCUGGGAAGGCAGUGUCCAGGGCUCUCGGCCCCCAGGCCCGGGGGAUGCCAAGGGACGCAGCGCCCCCUGCUGGCCGGUCGGGGCCCCUUCCCGU